UACGAAGGGGGCGAGCGUUGUUCGGAUUUACUGGGCGUAAAGGGUUCGUAGGUGGCUCGCUAAGUCAGACGUGAAAUCCCUCAGCUUAACUGGGGAACUGCGUCUGAGACUGAUGAGCUUGAGUGCAGGAGAGGAACGCGGAAUUCCAGGUGUAGCGGUGAAAUGCGUAGAUAUCUGGAGGAACACCGGUGGCGAAGGCGGCGUUCUGGACUGCAACUGACACUGAGGAACGAAAGCCAGGGGAGCAAACGGG
rnacentral:rRNA from 1 species